rfam:Lupinus angustifolius cultivar Tanjil chromosome LG14, whole genome shotgun sequence.
GUUGAGAGGAAUAUUGUCUGGCUCGAGGUCAUCGACGAGUAUAUUGAAGAAAUCUUUCGGUAUUUAAUGGAAAUUUAUUAUACCCUCUGACCCUAAAUGAUUCUCGGACCAGGCUUUAUUCCUUCCAGC